rnacentral:rRNA from 1 species
AUUGAACGCUGGCGGCAUGCCUUACACAUGCAAGUCGAACGGUAGCGGGCCUUCGGGUGCCGACGAGUGGCGAACGGGUGAGUAAUGCAUCGGAACGUGCCUUUAUGAGUGGGGGAUAACGUAGCGAAAGUUACGCUAAUACCGCAUAUUCUGUGAGCAGGAAAGCAGGGGACCGCAAGGCCUUGCGCUCUUUGAGCGGCCGAUGUCAGAUUAGCUAGUUGGUGAGGUAAAGGCUUACCAAGCGACGAUCUGUAGCGGGUCGUGAGAGGAUGAUCGCCACACUGGAACUGAGACACGGUCCAGACUCCUACGGAGGCAGCAGUGGGGAA